rnacentral:rRNA from 1 species
UACGGGGGGGGCAAACGUUGUUCGGAAUUACUGGGCGUAAAGGGCGCGUAGGUGGCCAACUAAGUCAGACGUGAAAUCCCUCGGCUUAACCGGGGAACUGCGUCUGAUACUGGAUGGCUUGAGUUUGGGAGAGGGACGCGGAAUUCCAGGUGUAGCGGUGAAAUGCGUAGAUAUCUGGAGGAACACCGGUGGCGAAGGCGGCGUCCUGGACCAAUACUGACACUGAAACGCGAAAGCCAGGGGAGCAAACGGG